GAUGAACGCUGGCGGCGUGCCUAAUACAUGCAAGUCGAGCGGACGGACGAGAAGCUUGCUUUUCUGAUGUUAGCGGCGGACGGGUGAGUAACACGUGGAUAACCUACCUAUAUUUCUGGGAUAACUUCGGGAAACCGGAGCUAAUACCGGAUAAUAUUUUGAACCGCAUGGUUCAGAAGUUAAUGACGGUCUUGCUGUCACUUAUAGCUGGUUUCGUGUUGGAUUAGCUAGUUGGUAAGGUAACGGCUUACCAAGGCAACGAUGCAUAGCCGACCUGAGAGGGUGAUCAGCCACACUGGAACUGAGACACGGUCCAGACUCCUACGGGAGGCAGCAGUAGGGAAUAUUCCACAAUGGGCGAAAGCCUGACGCAGCAACGCCGCGUGAGUGAUGAAGGUCUUCGGAUCGUAAAACUCUGUUAUUAGGGAAGAACAUAUGUGUAAGUAACUGUGGACAUCUUGACGGUACCUAAACAGAAAGCCACGGCUAACUUCGUG
rnacentral:rRNA from 1 species